rnacentral:lncRNA from 1 species
AUUUAUUUAUGAUUUUUUUUCCAAGGCCCUAAUCCUCUUUCGUACUUUUCUCACAUAGGUUAUAAAAAAAAAACUAUUAGAAGCAAGGUAGAAAUACGAGGCUCCUCUUUGACGCCAGUACACACUCAUGUCCAGUGGGUGGCGGUAGCUACUGACAAAACGCUUCACACGAAGAAGACGAAGAAGAAAAAGCGACAGCAGAAGAAGAAAAAGAAAAGGAAAACAAGCUUAAGCUUCUGACCUAAGAAGUCCCUUAAACGUCGUUUACAGUGACCGAAACUCCAACUCGGUGUGUUUAUUUCUCUUCAAAAGCAACACUUUGAAUCAAGACUCUUUUCUUCGUCAAAUUAGAGCCACAGCGGAUCGUGUGAUGAUGGAUCGUUACUACGUGAAGCUCAUUAAAGCUGCCCUCAACCCAAAAGUUGUUUUGCACAGAUUAGCGUUGCCUGCAGAUCACAUGAAACCGUUGCUAGUCGAUGGCAUUUCUUAUAAAUGGGGAUCCAGUGUUAAACUGGAGGACAUGGAGCGAUUUCGGAUCAAGGACGAACACUCGGAAAAUCAGGAGGGAGACCUCAUCGCUGUCGCCAAUAAAACGAAAGACAACGACUGUCGCUGUUCUCGGCUAAACCGAAGAGAAGCUGACGAAAGCAACAAAGAAGAAGCGUCGUCGGGCAGCUCUGAGGACACGUCGAGAAGAGAAAGUGAAAACAGCGGAGAUUCCGAAGCGGAAAACAGACCAAACAGCACAGAUGAGAUGGAAACGGACUCUUCUGAGAGUGACGGCAGUGAUGGUGAGGACGAUGGCGGAGAACGUUUGGGUUCUGGAGGGUUUUCAACGACAAGAGGCAUCGUUUCAGAGGAAAGGUCACGCAAGAGGAAAACCAUUCGGUUGUGAUGCUUUUUCGUGGUGAAGGUUUCUCAGCGUUAAAUGGUUGCUUUUACAAAGUUGGUUUGAUUUUCUGCAAUAAUUCUCUUUAAUUUAAUAAAUGUGUUUAUUUGACUUCA